CCUCAGCUAUGCUGACACUCAGCUCACAAAGAAAACCAUUUCACUAAAAGAAAACCCUCAUCGUCAUCACCCUCAGCUCGCUCGUCAUCGAUCACCCGCAGAAAACCUUCCUGCAUCGCGAAUCGGAGCUCACCACUGACCCCCACUCACCACUCACUGCCACACAACACUCAACACUAACCACUGACUGAACGCUUGAAGCUAAGUCAACUUCUUGCACAGAUCGUAGCGCGCUGCCCAGACCGUUCAUCUACCUUCGUAGUCCCUGCUCUCACCAUCACUGGUCACCAUCGUUGUAUCUGCGCUCAUUGUCGCCGCUCAACCAAGUUGUCUCUGCUCUCACCAUUGCAUGUCACCCUUGUUGUCUCUGUGCCGACCGGCGCCGCGCGCCUAGCAUCAUCGUUCUCUCUGCUCACCAUCGUCGAGAAGGCAAGACGAGCUUUGAGGGCAGUGGUGAGGCUGUAGGCUAUAUUUCGCAGAAGGCUAGCGAGGAAGCAAGCUGCUGUUACUCUAAGGUGCAUGCAGGCUCUUGUUCGAGUUUAAGCUCGCGUCCACACUAGGAAUGUGAGGAACUCUCCAGAAGGGAAAGCCGUGCAGACACUAUUAGAUCAGUACCACAACCAAGCUAAUCCUAUCAAGGAGGCUGAGUUAUUCGUGGUUAAGGUUGAAGGCAAAAGUUUUUGGUUAAGAUCUUCCAAGAAGAUUUUGUCAAAACGUUGAUCGUGUCAUGGCAAGGAAUAAGGAAUUUAUUGAUCUUAAAGCUACAUCAAGUAAGAAUUUGCUUAGACAAUUCGAGGCUAAGAGACAAAGGAUUGUGUCUGAACGCAAGAAAUAUGAAAUGGAAGCUGCAGUUGCUAAUGACAAGGAGAAAGCUGAGCGAAGGGUGGAUGAACCUGAAAGUCAAUUGGAGAUGCGUGCAACCAAAGGACUGAAGAAAUCCACGUCAAAGAGGUUGGAUUUUAGUCAUCUGCAAAGCACAUUCGACUCUAUUAGUCAUAGGACUAACUCCACGCCUACCACCUUGGAAGUACAGCCAAACAUUCCACCGCAACAGCCAGAAAAUAAAAAGAGAAAGGAGCUAUUGACUAUGCCUACUGCUGAGAAAGUCAAGAAUGGAGUGCAAGGUGGAAAAUCAACACAAGGCUUGAAGAAGUCUAAGCCUACAAACAUGGAGGCAGAUGAACUUACAAGGAAGCUCGAAGCAAUUCGUAAAAUGAACAAGGAUGUGUCAACAAGUCUAAGCCAAGAGCGGAGUUGUCCAAGUUCUACUCAACUCACAAUCAACAAAGGGCAGCAGCAGAAUAUUCAACUCACAGAUGAAGAAACUCAAACAGGGCAAGUUGACACAACUUUGCCUUCUCCUGAAACUACCCCACAAAAUGAAAGUGCAAUGUUGGAGCAAGAAAUAUCAACAAAGGGUAAGAGGAUGCCAGGAGUAAAGGCUACAACAAUUGACGAAUUCUUAAAGGAAAAUGGGAUAGAUGUGAAAAUUGAAGGACCAAGCACUGAACUAAGUGAGGACGGGGAAGAAAGCAUGGCACUUGAUAAAGACUAUUAUCAACAUGUGAUGGAGGAAAUUGAUGAUGAAGAAGGAGAGCCAAAGAAGAAGAAAACCCGUGGAAAAACAACUUGCAAGGAGAUUUAUGCAAGGACUAUGGAACAGCGAGAAGAAGUCACUUUUGAUCUUGGACAGCCUGUAGGACCAACCGACGAAAGUGUUUCUAAUUUAACUAGUUUUGUUGGCACUAUUGGUAGAAAUAAAAGAUUUGUUAGUCUUUUGUACACUAGUUGGCAUGCUAUUCCUCCUAAAGCUAAGAAGUUCAUGUGGGACUAUGUUAACGUAAGACACUUGGUAAUUAUUAAUUUCAAUUUUUUUAUUCAGCACAAGAGCAUAUAACAAUUACCUAUAAUCAUGCAUACCAAGUUUCUCCUCCCAGACAGUGGAGAAAAGUGGGUAAUACAAGCGAUUCGAGAUGCUUGGAAGCGGUUCAAAGGAAAGAUUAAGCAAAAGCACUUCGUUCCCUAUGAUAAUAUUGAAGAUAUGGUGAAGAAUCGACCCCCACAAGUACCAGAAAGUGGUUUCAUAAAAUUGAUCUAUUAUUGGAGUCAUCCUCUAAUCCAGUCAAUAAGUCAAAGAAACAAGCAAUACAAGGAAAAUGUGAAGUUUCCACAUCGCAUGGGGCCUAUCAAUUUCGGAAGACGAGCAACAAAGGAAACAAAGGAGGAACCAAAAAGGUUUGAGAUGUUCAUUGCUACCCGAACAAGUCGGAAGAGGAAAAAAGUGGAUGAGGAAACACAAAUUGCUGUUGAAGACUUCCAACACCGCCAAGUUGCUGGUGAAACAGAAGAGGAAGCAUUUGAGGCCUUAUUCGGGAAAGAACAGCCAGGUCGGAUAAGGUUGUAUGGAAGAUCUGUGACAAAGACUGAUUUAAAAAAAUAUGCUGAAAUUAAUGAAAUCAAGAAUCAGCACAAAGAGGAAGUAUCCAGUCUGAAGGAUAAACUUGGACACAUGGAGGCCCAACAGCAAAAAUAAUAGGCCAAACAGCAAAAACAAGACGAAGAGAUUCAUGGGUUGCGAAAUAUGAUCAAGUUAUUACUGCAGCGAUCGGAACCUGGAAUGAGGCCAGAAGAACUAGAAGCUUUAUUACAAGACGCCCAACAAUCUCCUAUUGAUGCGAAUAGUGGCUAUGGAUCAAUACAUUUUCCGAACUUAGAUGUGGGUAACAAUGAAGAUUAAGCUGACUAUUAUUGUGGUUUAUUAGCUAAGAUAGAGUGCUAUUUAGAAUCUUUACAUGUAUGGUUG